UGGUUCCAUUGGUAGCCAAGGUACUCCUCACAACACCGACAACCCCAAAAAACAACAUGAAGGCCAUUGUUGAUGCAACAGAAGGAUUUGUGUACCUUGUAUGAACUUCUUUCAACCUUAUUUAUUAACUU
rnacentral:sRNA from 1 species